AUUGAACGCUGGCGGUAUGCUUAACACAUGCAAGUCGAACGGUAGCAGGCCUUCGGGCGCUGACGAGUGGCGGACGGGUGAGUAACGCGUAGGAAUCUGCCUUAUAGUGGGGGACAACGUGGGGAAACUCACGCUAAUACCGCAUACGCCCUACGGGGGAAAGCGGGGGAUCUUCGGACCUCGCGCUAUGAGAUGAGCCUGCGUUAGAUUAGCUAGUUGGUAGGGUAAAGGCCUACCAAGGCGACGAUCUAUAGCUGGUCUGAGAGGACGAUCAGCCACACUGGGACUGAGACACGGCCCAGACUCCUACGGGAGGCAGCAGUGGGGAAUAUUGGACAAUGGGCGGAAGCCUGAUCCAGCAAUACCGCGUGUGUGAAGAAGGCCCUAGGGUUGUAAAGCACUUUCAAUGGGGAGGAAAACCUACCGGUCAAUACCCGGUAGCUUGACAUUACCUUUAGAAGAAGCACCGGCUAACUCCGUGCCAGCAGCCGCGGUAAUACGGAGGGUGCGAGCGUUAAUCGGAAUUACUGGGCGUAAAGCGUGUGUAGGUGGUUCGUUAAGUCAGAUGUGAAGGCCCCGGGCUUAACCUGGGAACGGCAUUUGAAACUGGCGAACUGGAGUUGAGUAGAGGGGAGUG
rnacentral:rRNA from 1 species